UACAGAGGGGGCAAGCGUUGUCCGGAAUUACUGGGCGUACAGCGCGCGCAGGCGGUGGCCGACGUGCCGUGUGACAAGCGGGGGCUCAACCCCCGAGGGCCACGGUAAACGGGGUGACUGGAGGACGGGAGAGGGAUGUGGAAUGCCCGGUGGAGCGGUGAAAUGCGUAGAUAUCAGGAGGAACACCGGUGGUGUAAACGGCUUUCUGGACCAUAACUGACACUGAGGCACGAAAGCGUGGGUAGCAAACAGG
rnacentral:rRNA from 1 species